rnacentral:rRNA from 1 species
UAGGGAAUCUUCCGCAAUGGGCGAAAGCUUGACGGAGCAACGCCGCGUGAGUGAUGAAGGUCUUCGGAUCGUAAAACUCUGUUAUUAGGGAAGAACAAAUGUGUAAGUAACUAUGCACGUCUUGACGGUACCUAAUCAGAAAGCCACGGCUAACUACGUGCCAGCAGCCGCGGUAAUACGUAGGUGGCAAGCGUUAUCUGGAAUUAUUGGGCGUAAAGCGCGCGUAGGCGGUUUUUUAAGUCUGAUGUGAAAGCUCACGGGUCAACCGUGGAGGGUCAUUGGAAACUGGAAAACUUGAGUGGAGGAGGGGAAAGUGGGAUUCCAUGUGUAGCGGUGAAAUGCGCAGAGUUAUGGGGGGACAACAGUGGCGAAGGCGACUUUCUGGUCUGUAACUGACGCUGGUGUGCGGAAGCGUGGGGAUCAAACAGG